rnacentral:rRNA from 1 species
AUUGAACGCUGGCGGCAGGCUUAACACAUGCAAGUCGAGCGAGUGGCGGACGGGUGAGUAAUGUCUGGGAAACUGCCUGAUGGAGGGGGAUAACUACUGGAAACGGUAGCUAAUACCGCAUACCAUCAGAUGUGCCCAGAUGGGAUUAGCUUGUUGGUGGGGUAACGGCUCACCAAGGCGACGAUCCCUAGCUGGUCUGAGAGGAUGACCAGGCAACCCGGAACUGGGAAAAGGUCCCGACGCCUACGGGAGGCAGUAGGGGGGAAUAUUGGACAAUGGGCGCAAGCCUGAGGCAGCCCAGCCGGGUGUGUGAAGAAGGCCUUCGGGUUGGAAAGUACUUUCAGCGGGGAGGCGUUACCCGCAGAAGAAGCACCGGCUAACUCCGUGCCAGCAGCCGCGGUAAUUC